rnacentral:misc_RNA from 1 species
UUUCCGUAGGUGAACCUGCGGAAGGAUCAUUAAUGAAGGAAGGCGCGCUCUUUAUAGAGGCUCCGACCCCAUUUCAUCCCACACACCCGUGCACUCGGGAGGCGUGGGCCCUCGAUUGACAAGGUCGACGGGCCGUGAUCGCCUUUUCCCGCCCUUACUAGCGCCACAUGGUACUAUAGGAUGCUGAAUGCAAAAAUGAAAACAAACAAAACUUUCAACAACGGAUCUCUUGGCUCUCGCAUCGAUGAAGAACGCAGC